CAGUGAUAAUUCUUUCAUCUUCUGUUUGUCACAGAUAUUUCCAUUUCUAGGAAUCUUUUUUUUUUCCCCUUUAGUAUGCACUGCAGUGCAUGAUGCUGAUGCCUGUUGUAUGAUGUACUGUUUAUUGCAGGCCGCAGCUGUUAAAAAAAUGGUACUAUAUCCUCCCUGGAUGACAGUGAAUCAUAUAAAAUGAACCCUAAGGAAACUGUAUGAAAGAGAAAAUGAAGAACGUAAGUAGUGGAAGACAAAUCACAUGGAGUAAUACAGUUACUGUGAACUUCUCAUAUCUUCUCCUUUUAGCCUCCAAACAUAACACUGAAAUUGCUGUACAAGAA
rnacentral:lncRNA from 1 species